rfam:Gossypium hirsutum cultivar TM-1 scaffold6993.1_1, whole genome shotgun sequence
GGGUGCGAUCAUACCAGCACUAAUGCACCGAAUCCCAUCAAAACUCCGUAGUUAAGCGUGUUUGGGCGAGAGUAGUACUAGGAUGGGUGACCUCCUAAGAAGUACUUGCGUUGCACCCC